GGCGUAAAGCGCAUGCAGGUGGUUUGUUAAGUCAGAUGUGAAAUCCCCGAGCUCAACUUGGGAACGGCAUUUGAAACUGGCAAGCUAGAGUCCUGUAGAGGGGGGUAGAAUUUC
rnacentral:rRNA from 1 species